GACGAACGCUGGCGGCGUGCUUAACACAUGCAAGUUGAACGAGAAUUUUUUUAAUAGAUUUCUUCGGAAUGAAAUUAAAAAAGGAAAGUAGCGAACGGGUGAGUAACACGUGAGAAACCUGCCUUUCACAAAGGGAUAGCCUCGGGAAACCGGGAUUAAUACCUUAUGACACGGAGAUAUCGCAUGAUAAUUUCGUUAAAAGAAUUUCGGUGAAAGAUGGUCUCGCGUCUGAUUAGCUAAGUUGGUAAGGUAACGGCUUACCAAGGCGACGAUCAGUAGCCGGAUUGAGAGGUUGAACGGCCACACUGGAGCUGAGACACGGUCCAG
rnacentral:rRNA from 1 species